rnacentral:rRNA from 1 species
UACGUAGGGGGCAAGCGUUGUCCGGAUUUAUUGGGCGUAAAGAGCGUGUAGGCGGUCCGGUAAGUCAGCUGUGUAAGUCAAGGGCUCAACCCUUGAAUGCCGGUUGAUACUGUCGGGCUAGAGUCCGGAAGAGGCGAGUGGAAUUCCCGGUGUAGCGGUGAAAUGCGUAGAUAUCUGGAGGAACACCGGUGGCGAAGGCGGCAUCCUGGACCGGUAUUGACGCUGAGGCGCGAAAGCUAGGGGAGCAAACGGG